rnacentral:rRNA from 1 species
UACGUAGGGUGCGAGCGUUAAUCGGAAUUACUGGGCGUAAAGCGUGCGCAGGCGGUUUGCUAAGACCGAUGUGAAAUCCCCGGGCUCAACCUGGGAACUGCAUUGGUGACUGGCAGGCUAGAGUAUGGCAGAGGGGGGCAGAAUUCCACGUGUAGCAGUGAAAUGCGUAGAGAUGUGGAGGAAUACCGAUGGCGAAGGCAGCCCCCUGGGCCAAUACUGACGCUCAUGCACGAAAGCGUGGGUAGCAAACAGG